UACGAAGGGAGCUAGCGUUGUUCGGAAUCACUGGGCGUAAAGCGCACGUAGGCGGAUGUGUCAGUCAGGGGUGAAAUCCCGGAGCUCAACUCCAGAACUGCCUUUGAUACUGAGAAGCUUGAGUCCGGGAGAGGUGAGUGGAACUGCGAGUGUAGAGGUGAAAUUCGUAGAUAUUCGCAAGAACACCAGUGGCGAAGGCGGCUCACUGGCCCGGUACUGACGCUGAGGUGCGAAAGCGUGGGGAGCAAACAGG
rnacentral:rRNA from 1 species